AUUGCCCCAGUAACGGCGAGUGAAGCGGCAACAGCUCAAAUUUGAAAUCUGGCCCCAGGCCCGAGUUGUAAUUUGCAGAGGAUGCUUUUGGCGCGGUGCCUUCCGAGUUCCCUGGAACGGGACGCCAUAGAGGGUGAGAGCCCCGUACGGUUGGACACCAAGCCUUUGUAAAGCUCCUUCGACGAGUCGAGUAGUUUGGGAAUGCUGCUCUAAAUGGGAGGUACAUUUCUUCUAAAGCUAAAUAUUGGCCAGAGACCGAUAGCGCACAAGUAGAGUGAUCGAAAGAUGAAAAGCACUUUGAAAAGAGGGUUAAACAGCACGUGAAAUUGUUAAAAGGGAAGCGCUUGUGACCAGACUUGCGUCCGGUGAAUCACCCAGCUCUCGCGGCUGGGGCACUUCGCCGGCACAGGCCAGCAUCAGCUUGCCGUCGGGGACAAAAGCUUCAGGAACGUAGCUCCUCUCGGGGAGUGUUAUAGCCUGUUGUAUAAUACCCUUCGGCGGGCUGAGGUACGCGCUCCGCAAGGAUGCUGGCGUAAUGGUCAUCAGCGACCCGUCUUGAAACACGGACCAAGGAGUCAACCUUAUGUGCGAGUGUUUGGGUGUUAAACCCCUACGCGUAAUGAAAGUGAACGCAGGUGAGAGCUUCGGCGCAUCAUCGACCGAUCCUGAUGUUCUCGGAUGGAUUUGAGUAAGAGCAUAUAGGGUUGGACCCGAAAGAAGGUGAACUAUGCGUGUGUAGGGUGAAGCCAGAGGAAACUCUGGUGGAGGCUCGCAGCGGUUCUGACGUGCAAAUCGAUCGUCAAACAUGCGCAUGGGGGCGAAAGACUAAUCGAACCUUCUAGUAGCUGGUUUCCGCCGAAGUUUCCCUCAGGAUAGCAGUGUUGAGCUCAGUUUUAUGAGGUAAAGCGAAUGAUUAGGGACUCGGGGGCUAUUUUUUGCCUUCAUCCAUUCUCAACUUUAAAUAUGUAAGAAGCCC
rnacentral:rRNA from 1 species